rnacentral:rRNA from 1 species
AAUUUACUUAAUUUAUAAUUUUGUAUAUCGUUGUUAAAAAAAUAUUUUUUAAUAAAAUUAAUAUUUUAAAAUUUUUAUUUAAAUUUAAAUCAGAUCAAGAUGCAGAUUAUAAUUAAGAAUAUAAUGGAUUACAAUAAAUUUAUUUAAAUGAAUAUUAUUUUGUAAUAAUUAAUUGAAAUUGGAUUUAAAUGUAAUUUUAUUUAAUUUAAAAAAAUGAUUAAAAAUUAAAAUAUGU